CUUUUUUAAUUCGUCUUCUUCGCAGAUAUUUUUCAUCUCUCUCAACUCCCUCGUCUCGCACCUUCUUUUUCCUCGUUAGGCAUCCGCUCACUACUGUCUCCUCCAUUGAAGCAGAGAUCUCCUCCUCCUCCUCCUCCUCUGUUUGUCCCCUUUUCUCCGUCCGAUUCUCCUGAUUCCACCGACCUCGCGAUCUUCCUUAAUCACCGCGUUUCUCUGCCUGCAUUCUCCUUCUUCUGCUUUAUUCCAUUUCCUCCACCUCUUCCGACCUGUAAUUUCGCUGUUUCUUGACGAAUAUCGGUCCGCCUUCGACCGCGAACCGUCUGUUUGGCUGCCUAGAAAAUUCCAGAAAAUUACAAGCUUAAAUGAAACUGAGAAAGAAUCGCGUAAUAGUAGAGUCCUUAUCGUAAGCCCUACGUCAAAAUAAUAUUAUUGUAGAGGAAAUUUAUUUUGUUUUGGAGACAGACGCCUUCGCUAUGCAAUUCAGUCAGGAUGUCAAAUCAUUACAGAUGCUGUCGGUGAAAUAUCAAACUGCGUGAACAUGAAGGUCUUUUACCACAUUAGUGUAAUAUAACAUAAAUUUUAUCCAACAGCCUUGUUCUUGAGAAAUCAAGUAACAUCAUCCCAGUCUGAUGCAUCUUCUUGGCUAGCGUAGUUGUAGUCUGCCGUAGUCGUCACGGAAAUAGUUUGAUCAAAAAAAUGAAAACUUAAAAGUGAUUAUCAUAAUAGACACUGUAGUUUUAGGAAGGAGGUAUACCCCAGAUUUGUAGCCCUUGCUACUGGCUCGUAGUUUUGCUGCUGUGGCUGGCUAAGCUGGAGACGGACAGGUCCAUGUGAGUCCUCUUCAAUACCUUGACCAUUUGUCAGAAUGAGACUUCGGUUGGCUUCAUUUACAUCCAUUGUUUCAUUAACCUGGGAUGUGAAACUUUUCUGUUGAGGCGUUGUGAAAAAUGUUGCAAUUUGUUGUAGGUUGGAUUAUAGAUUUUAUUUCUCUUUCGUGGAUGGUUAAAGUUUAUUAAGUUAUCAAAA